UACGUAGGGUGCAAGCGUUAAUCGGAAUUACUGGGCGUAAAGCGUGCGCAGGCGGUUGUGCAAGACAGAUGUGAAAUCCCCGGGCUCAACCUGGGAACUGCAUUUGUGACUGCACGGCUGGAGUGCGGCAGAGGGGGGAUGGAAUUCCGCGUGUAGCAGUGAAAUGCGUAGAUAUGCGGAGGAACACCGAUGGCGAAGGCAAUCCCCUGGGCCUGCACUGACGCUCAUGCACGAAAGCGUGGGGGAGCAAACGGG
rnacentral:rRNA from 1 species